AGACAUCAAGGCGUAGGAAGCAGUUAAUACUAAUUGAAAAGCCCACUUAUCGGUUGUUUUUUUUUUCUUUUUUCUUUUUUUUUCUAUUGAUAGGAUAAGUGUAUUCCAUUAUCAAAUAGAAUAAUAGGGCCUCAGGUGUAUGUCGUUCAAUUAAUAUUAUUUUCAGUUUGUUAACCUCACCAAAUAUAUAAAAUUAUCUCAAUUAUAAAAUCUGGAAGAUCAAAGAACAAUUAGGCUACGCCACUUUUUU
rnacentral:lncRNA from 1 species